CACCGGCGGCUCGAGCGGUGGCAACUUUUAUUGAGUUUAAAGCGUCCGUAGCCGGCUUGGCAAGUCCCCUGGGAAAUCUGGCGGCUUAACCGUCAGGCGUCCAGAGGAUACUGCCAGGCUUGGGGCCGGGAGAGGUGAGAGGUACCUCAGGGGUAGGGGUGAAAUCUUGUGAUCCCUGAGGGACCACCAGUGGCGAAGGCGUCUCACUAGAACGGGUCCGACGGUCAGGGACGAAAGCUGGGGGCACGAACCGG
rnacentral:rRNA from 1 species